rnacentral:lncRNA from 1 species
CUCUGGUACAGAAACCAUCUCCUCUCCAGACCAGACCCGGUCCCCUGGGCCAUCUGUGGGAGCAGAAGCUGGUGGUGGCACGGAUGCCAUCGUACCCUCCACAGCCCCGCAGCUCGCCCACUCAUCAUCUGCCUCGGACAGUGCUGCCACGUGUGAGUUUUGAUAGCUAGCUGUAUAACUCAGAACAUUAUUUAAAGAGUCUUUAUAAACAAAAUACAUCCUUUCUAUUUUAAAGAAAGGAGGAAUAAUAUUGUACUUGGCACAUUCUGUACGUUUAAAAACAUUUCACAGAAGUGAAAGUAUGGAUAAAUAUUAUUCUUGUUGGAAGAGGAGGAUAGAUUUUUUGUUGAAAACUUACAGUUGAAUUUUGCAAGCAAUUACUUCAGGAGUUCCUAUGUUGAAACCAUUUUUUCCUUGUCCUAAUGAUUUCCCAGUAGUAAAUAUUUCCUUAUUGCAUAUUCACACAUACAUUGUCUGCACCUAGAGAUGUUGGGCAAAACCUACCCGGCUGUUUUAGCUUUCUAUUUCCUCUCUCCUUUUUCAGCUUUUCACAGCAGUCAUGGACCCAAGAGCAUCCCAGUCACAGGAGAGGCAAUGCUGCACUCAGAAGUGUCCCCUGCACUCACCAGUGUGGUUGUGGGGACACCAGGGUCCCCCUCAAGCUCUGCCACCAGCACUGACCCCACCAGCAGUUUGGGACAAACCUUGUCCUCCUCGGUGACCAAGGCACACCAAACUGAUGGCUGGCAGGGAGACACAGACCUCACUGAGCAUCCCCAGGAGCUCAGCAGCUUGCUGUCUGCCUCUGCACAUGUUUUUACAGGUAUCAGAAGCAGCCGCCAACCAACUGACACAUCGACGGCAGAGAAAGAAACCUCAGCUUCCUCUACCACCAGUGCUUACGUUUCAGCCACCGCCACUGGCAGCGGAGGGAGGCCACCAAGGUCUGUCACAAACAGCAGCCACUGGGCAACAGAAGUCUCUGCUCCCAGCAGUGAUGUAUCCAGGACCUCGGGCACCAUCAGAUCCUCACCUGCCUCUUCUGUAAGAGCGACCUAUGGAGUGCAUGGGGCCAGAGAGACCACAGGUUUCAGCCAGCCUGUGGAAGACCCUUUGCUGCUACGCUCUCACUCUCCUGCAGAAGGUCCUACAGGUGAGCUCGAGUCAGAGGUGAAGUCCAUUUUUAUGGGGAGUAAAAGGAGGGUAGUUAUUUUAUCCUGCACUACCCAUGUAUCACAAAACAUUACAACUAUGUUGAAUAUACUGUUAAGAAAGGUGUAGCAUGAUUUCUGGGUCUGAAGGAAUUCGGCUCUUUUUGAGGAAAAAAUUUGGUUUAGUGUUUUUACCUAAAAGGCACACGUGAAAAGUUUCCUUAGGCCAAGAAAAAUAAUUUACUUUCGAAUCAUGGUAAUUUUUUACCAUCUCCAGUUGUUAUUUCUGUUUCAUAAGCAAGGGAACUAAGCACGUGGGGAUUCAAUCUUGUCCCUGCAGUUCCAGGGAGUAGGCUUCAGUUCCUGCCUUGUACACAAUGGACCACACUGCUUCUCAGAAAUGGAACCAGCUCAACAGAUUCAGGGC